AUGACGGGGGGCUCGCCGUUGCCGAGCCAAGCCGGAGCAACGCCCAGCCGCCUAAAGCAGAAUGCCCCUGCGUCUUCCGCCUUCGCCUCCUCCUCCACCUCCUUAGGGACGGACGAAGCGGACGAGGGGGGCAUUGAGGAGCUAGAGAGGGAGGUGGCCGAUCUGGGCCGCCGAACACUCGAGCACCGCCGUGACGCCGCCGCCCGCUUCAUAGACGCAACAAUAUCGCGCCUCGUCGCCUUCCGCCCGCCCGCCUGCGUAGAAGUUCCAAGUGAAGCACAAUCUACCGCUGCAACCUCGCACGCUGAAGCUGAACAAAAUAUGGUUGAAAAGCUAAAGUUGUUCAAAUCCAAGACUGAGGCAAAUAUCGCGGCCGUGCCCAAGGUACUGGAGAAAAUGAACGCAUGUAUUGCUCGGAUGGAGAAGGUGGAGGGAUUGAAUGUGAAUAUACAUCCUGUUUUCCAAAGAAAAUGGUAG
rnacentral:rRNA from 1 species